rnacentral:pre_miRNA from 9 species
UCGCGAUAGCAUAAAAAUUAGUUCAAAUUUGUAUGUACUUGGAGCGUAUGUCUAUAUUUGCAGCUAGGGGCGUUGUUCCAACUGCAUACAAAUUUAAGUUAACUUUUACGCUAUCGA